GACGUAGGGCGCGAGCGUUGUCCGGAUUUAUUGGGCGUAAAGAGCUCGUAGGCGGCUUGUCGCGUCGAAUGUGAAAUCUCAGGGCUCAACUCUGACAUUGCAUUCGAUACGGGCAGGCUCGAGUUCGGUAGGGGAGACUGGAAUUCCUGGUGUAGCGGUAAAAUGCGCAGAUAUCAGGAGGAACACCGGUGGCGAAGGCGGGUCUCUGGGCCGAUACUGACGCUGAGGAGCGAAAGCGUGGGGAGCGAACAGG
rnacentral:rRNA from 1 species